rnacentral:tRNA from 1 species
CGGGCUGUGGCCUAGUGGCUAAGGCGCGUCGUUCGGGACGACGAGAUCGGAGGUUCAAAUCCUCUCAGCCCGA